UGCAUCGAUGAAGAACGCAGCGAAACGCGAUAGGUAAUGUGAAUUGCAGAAUUCCGUGAAUCAUCGAAUCUUUGAACGCACCUUGCGCCCCAUGGCAUUCCGUGGAGCAUGCCUGUUUGAGUGCCGCGAAAUCUCCCACCCCUAGCGGUUGCCGCAAGGCGCCGCCGGGCGGCGGGGUUGGUUGGGUGCCGCUGCCUGGGCUUUGGCCCAGGCUCGCCCGAAAUGCAUGAGCGCUUAGCACUCGCACCGUCUCGAGGGAAGGCGGCGGAGCUGGCAUCUGCGCAUGGCAUGAUACGUCAUUUGCUGUGUGGCAGCCCAGCGACCCGAGAGUGUGUGUGCGCUACUACACGCCCUUUCAUUUCUGGUCUCAAAUCAGGUAGGAUCACCCGCUGAACUUAAGCAUAUCAAUAAGCGGAGGA
rnacentral:rRNA from 1 species